CUGUUUCCUGUCUGGUAUCGGCUUCCUGUUCCAUCGGGGGCUCAAGGAACCCUGCACAGGGGACAGUGCAAAAAGUGUAGGAGCCAGAGGGGACAGAGGACACCAAGGAAGCAACACCUUCUAAACACGGCAAGAUCCCGAAUGUGUGAACUCACAGAAACCGUGACAAAAGGCACAGGGCCAGCAUGGUCUGCACUAAGCAGUCCUGGAGCCGAAGGGACAAGUGGCUAUAGCCACCAUCCCUAACCCAGCAACGAUCUCCAGCUGAUAACCACUUGCAGAUGAAAAUAUGCCUUUCUCCAAGGGAGUCUCACUGGGGAAACAAACCACUCUUAAGGGUCCUUUACAUAUAUGCUACGGCUUCCAGUUUUGCGUUCUUAUGUGUGCCAAUGUGUGUGUGUGUCUGUGUGCUUCUUGUGUUUUUUUCUUGGGCUCUUUCUUCUGUUUGUGUUUGUCCUGUUCUGAUUUAUUUUAUUUUAACCAUUCCUUAGACUCCUGCUUGUUUUCUAAGGAGAGAUUAAAAAAAGAUGUGAAUGGAAGGAGAGGUGAGGAGGGGUUUGGAGGAGUGGGGGUGGGGAGCGAGAGGAAACCAUAAUCAAAAUGUAUGAAAAAAUCUAUUUUCAAUAAAAGGGGGAACAAGGAGAGAGU
rnacentral:lncRNA from 1 species